GUCUACGGCCACGCCACCCUGAACAAGCCCCAUCCCGUCCGAUCUCAGAAGCUAAGCAGGGUCGGGCCUGGUUAGUACUUGGAUGGGAGACCACCUAGGAAGACCAGGUGCUGUAGGCG
rnacentral:rRNA from 1 species